GGGAGAUUGGGCUUUAGGGGCUGGGGGACAGUAGGGAGGGUCUUAGGGCUGUAGAGGGGACAUGGGGUGCUAUGUGGCUGUAGGGAGCAGGGGAAUAAUAUGACACUGUAGGGGGCUAUUGGGGGAGCUAUAUGGUUCUAUGGGGAGGCUAUAGGAGCUUUAUAGGUGGUUAUGGGGCUAUAGAGAGCUGUGGGUGGUCUGUCGGCGGGUUGUAGUAGGGUAGGAGGCUAUAGGGGGCUGUGGAGGGGAUAUAGGGAGAUAUGGGGCAAUAGUGGGUUUUUAAGGGGUUGUGGCGGGCUGUGGGAGUGUAUAGGAUGAUAGGGGGCCGGGGAGGAUUUCUAGAGAGGGAUAUUAUGCUGGAGAAGGUAUGGGAGGCUAAAAUGGGCCUUUGGGGGUUACAGAGGGGCUGUGGUGGGCUAUUUGGGGAUAUAGGGAGAUAUAAGGCUAUAGGGGGUGUUUGGAGGAUGUGGUCCUCUAAGGGGCUGUGUGGGUCCAUAGGAUGAUCUGGAGCUAUAGGGUGAUCUCUAAAGGGAUGUGGGGCUAGAAGGCUCUCCCUUCCUUCUUUCCCCCCUUUCCACAGCAGGGAGGGUGAAAUGCUAGUCAUGAAAUUGAAACUGGAACUGAAGUUGUCUUGCAAUAGAAUAUGAUGCUUUUGUGGUCUUCAAUCUGAAACGUGUUUUCUCC
rnacentral:lncRNA from 1 species